rnacentral:tRNA from 1 species
UCUCUGGUAGUAUAUCGGUUAGUACACGCGCCUGUCAUCAUCAAGCGCACGAAUUGCUGCGCGCGAAAGCUGGGUUCGACUCCCAGCCAGAGAG